CAGAUUAUAGAACAAAAGCACCAUUGGUUUUGAGCAGUAGAUGUAACAGAAAUCAUGGAGGAGGAAAGUUCAGAUGAAGAAUUUUCUUCUAUGAGAUUACCAAGUCUAAUAGAUCAGUUAAAAAGAUUACUGGAACAAUAUUCAGAUGGACAAAUACUGAAGGAGUUAAUACAAAACGCUGAAGAUGGUGGAGCUACAAGAAUGAAAGUUAUGUUUGUAAAUAAACACCAUCAACCAACAACAACUUUAAAAAUGUGGAAAGAAAAUCCAAUACAAUUUGCCAUGAAGG